rnacentral:rRNA from 1 species
GGAUCCAGACUUUGAUCCUGGCUCAGGAUGAACGCUGGCGGCGUGCCUAACACAUGCAAGUCGAACGGAGCUGCUUUGAUGAGAUCUUCGGAUGGAUUUAAAACAGCUUAGUGGCGGACGGGUGAGUAACGCGUGGGUAACCUGCCUCACACUGGGGGAUAACAGUUAGAAAUAGCUGCUAGUACCGCAUAAGCGCACGGUUCCGCAUGGAACAGUGUGAAAAACUCCGGUGGUGUGAGAUGGACCCGCGUCUGAUUAGCCAGUUGGCGGGGUAACGGCCCACCAAAGCGACGAUCAGUAGCCGGCCUGAGAGGGUGAACGGCCACAUUGGGACUGAGACACGGCCCAAACUCCUACGGGAGGCAGCAGUGGGGAAUAUUGCACAAUGGGGGAAACCCUGAUGCAGCGACGCCGCGUGAGUGAAGAAGUAUUUCGGUAUGUAAAGCUCUAUCAGCAGGGAAGAAAGUGACGGUACCUGAAUAAGAAGCCCCGGCUAACUACGUGCCAGCAGCCGCGGUAAUACGUAGGGGGCAAGCGUUAUCCGGAUUUACUGGGUGUAAAGGGAGCGUAGACGGCAAGGCAAGUCUGAAGUGAAAGCCCGGUGCUUAACGCCGGGACUGCUUUGGAAACUGUUUGGCUGGAGUGCCGGAGAGGUAAGCGGAAUUCCUAGUGUAGCGGUGAAAUGCGUAGAUAUUAGGAAGAACACCAGUGGCGAAGGCGGCUUACUGGACGGUAACUGACGUUGAGGCUCGAAAGCGUGGGGAGCAAACAGGAUUAGAUACCCUGGUAGUCCACGCCGUAAACGAUGAUUGCUAGGUGUAGGUGGGUAUGGACCCAUCGGUGCCGCAGCUAACGCAAUAAGCAAUCCACCUGGGGAGUACGUUCGCAAGAAUGCAACUCAAAUGAAUUGACGG